UUGCAGAAAUCUGACCUCCCAGAUUACCUUAUACCAAAGAUGGGGAUGGUGUUCAAGGACUUCGAUGCAGGCAAAGUGUUCUACAAUAGAUACGCCAGGCACGCUGGCUUUGGAACAAGAAUUGGACAGAAGAGUGGUUUCAAUAAAUACCUGUACUGUACACGUGAAGGGAAGCACGCGAGCUCUGUUUCUGAAUCUGAGCGUCAGCGGGACAAGACGACAAAGUGAUGUGGAUGCAAGGCGAAGCUGGGAUUAAAGGGGAAUGAGCACGAUGAUACAGUAGUCAUUGUCGACAUCAAUUUUGAGCACAACCACCAACUAAUACAAAGCCCUACCAUGCUUGUGUUUCUUCAUUCCCACAAGUCAUUUGACCCCACUAUAUUGGAUUAUGUUAAGUUCCUCCAGUUCUAGAAUGUUCAGCACCAUACCAUUAUGUCUAUCCUAUAUGGAUCCCUCGGUGGCGGUCAGUUUUUGGCAUUGCACGGCCGUGAUUUAAUCAACAGGAAGCUUCUUAACUCUAAGGAAGAUAGCAUCGAUGACGUCGAGAAGCUGUUGGAAUUCUUUGCUGAGAUGAAAGCAGUAAAUAAUGAAUUCUUCGACUUCCAAAUUGAUGAGUCUGGUCGCAUAAAGAACAUCUUCUGGGCUAAUGCAAGCUGCAGGGGCGCGUACCAAGAUUUUGGUGAUGCGAUGACAUUUGAUACCACUUAUAAGACAAAUCAGUACCUUAUGCCUUUGGGAGUAUUUGUAGGAGUAAACAAUCAUCUCCAGUCAACAAUAUUCGUGUGUGCCCUUGUAAGGGAUGAAUGUGAAGAAUCUUUUGCUUGGCUAUUCAGAACCUUCUUGGCAUGCAACAAUGGGAAGCAACCUACAAUAAUUUUAACAGACCAGUGCCCUUCGAUGACCCCUGUGAUAAAACAAGUUUUCACCAGGUCCCUACACAAGUUUUGCCGAUGGCAUAUAACAAACAAGUACACCUCGCAUAUUUCAUACUUGUACAACUUGCACAACACUUUCAAGGCUGAGUUUGAGGCAAUCAUAAAUUGGCCCCUGAUGCCAACUGAAUUUGAGACAGCUUGGCACCAGCUAGUUGAUAAAUACAAGCUUCAUGAUGAUCACAUGAUUCUGCACAUGUGGGCAGAUAGGAAGGAAUGGAUAUCAGCUUACUUCAAAGAGGUUUUCUCUGCAAGGAUGACUUCGACUCAACGAAGCGAAAGUAUGAACUACAUACUCAAGAAAGGAUUUGUCAAACAGGACAAAAACCUGCACCGAUUUGCUGAGCAAGUAAACAACUGCAUAUAUUCAAGGAGGCAAGCUGAAAAUGCAUAG
rnacentral:rRNA from 1 species